UGGGGAAUUUUGGACAAUGGACGCAAGUCUGAUCCAGCCAUGCCGCGUGCGGGAAGAAGGCCUUCGGGUUGUAAACCGCUUUUGUCAGGGAAGAAACGAGUUUCUCUAAUACGGAGACUUAAUGACGGUACCUGAAGAAUAAGCACCGGCUAACUACGUGCCAGCAGCCGCGGUAAUACGUAGGGUGCAAGCGUUAAUCGGAAUUACUGGGCGUAAAGCGUGCGCAGGCGGUUAUGCAAGACAGAUGUGAAAUCCCCGGGCUCAACCUGGGACCUGCAUUUGUGACUGUAUAGCUAGAGUACGGUAGAGGGGGAUGGAAUUCCGCGUGUAGCAGUGAAAUGCGUAGAUAUGCGGAGGAACACCGAUGGCGAAGGCAAUCCCCUGGGCCUGCACUGACGCUCAUGCACGAAAGCGUGGGGAGCAAACA
rnacentral:rRNA from 1 species